rnacentral:rRNA from 1 species
GAUGAACGCUGGCGGCGUGCCUAAUACAUGCAAGUCGAGCGAACAGACGAGGAGCUUGCUCCUCUGACGUUAGCGGCGGACGGGUGAGUAACACGUGGAUAACCUACCUAUAAGACUGGGAUAACUUCGGGAAACCGGAGCUAAUACCGGAUAAUAUAUUGAACCGCAUGGUUCAAUAGUGAAAGACGGUUUUGCUGUCACUUAUAGAUGGAUCCGCGCCGCAUUAGCUAGUUGGUAAGGUAACGGCUUACCAAGGCAACGAUGCGUAGCCGACCUGAGAGGGUGAUCGGCCACACUGGAACUGAGACACGGUCCAGACUCCGACGGGAGGCAGCAGUAGGGAAUCUUCCGCAAUGGGCGAAAGCCUGACGGAGCAACGCCGCGUGAGUGAUGAAGGUCUUCGGAUCGUAAAACUCUGUUAUUAGGGAAGAACAAAUGUGUAAGUAACUAUGCACGUCUUGACGGUACCUAAUCAGAAAGCCGCGGCUAACUACGUG